rnacentral:rRNA from 1 species
UGGUAGCGCCCUCCCGAAGGUUAAGCUACCUACUUCUUUUGCAACCCACUCCCAUGGUGUGACGGGCGGUGUGUACAAGGCCCGGGAACGUAUUCACCGUAGCAUUCUGAUCUACGAUUACUAGCGAUUCCGACUUCAUGGAGUCGAGUUGCAGACUCCAAUCCGGACUACGACGCACUUUAUGAGGUCCGCUUGCUCUCGCGAGGUCGCUUCUCUUUGUAUGCGCCAUUGUAGCACGUGUGUAGCCCUACUCGUAAGGGCCAUGAUGACUUGACGUCAUCCCCACCUUCCUCCAGUUUAUCACUGGCAGUCUCCUUUGAGUUCCCGGCCGAACCGCUGGCAACAAAGGAUAAGGGUUGCGCUCGUUGCGGGACUUAACCCAACAUUUCACAACACGAGCUGACGACAGCCAUGCAGCACCUGUCUCAGAGUUCCCGAAGGCACCAAUCCAUCUCUGGAAAGUUCUCUGGAUGUCAAGAGUAGGUAAGGUUCUUCGCGUUGCAUCGAAUUAAACCACAUGCUCCACCGCUUGUGCGGG